AUGAAUAAAGAAAAAUAUCAACAAAAAAAAAUUACGACUAUUGGUUACACACAGACUAUGCUAGGAAUGCAUCCGCCUUUUGAUUUUUGUAUUCAAGCAUUUCCGCAUCACCAGCACGGUGAUAUAAAAAUAAAUGUAAGAGCAUUGAGAGCAGCACAUAAAAGUUGGUCGGAUUCUAAUGCUGUGAGCUGCACUAAUUCCAUUUCCGUCGGAGUAGCAACAAAUCCUAAAGCAAGAUGUGGCUGUACAGAGUUUUUCAUUUGA